AGCCAGCAGCGAGAUUCAAACUCGCGACCCCUGGUUUACGAGACCAGUGCUCUAACCUCUGAGCUAUGGUGGC
rnacentral:tRNA from 1 species